AUGAGGGGAGAGCAGUAGGGAGGGCGAGGGUGGGUGAAGGUGGAGGGGAGUGGGGAAGAGGGAAGAGUCCAGGAAGAGUCAGAUUUUCUGGAUGAUGGGGAUUGAGUGGUUGGUGGAGUGAAUAGAAGAGGAGGGCACUGGGGCACCUGGGUGGCUCAGUGGGUUAAAGCCUCUGACUUCAGCUCAGGUCAUGAUCCCAGGGUCCUGGGAUCGAGCCCCGCAUCGGGCUCUCUGUUCCACGGAGAGCCUGCUUCCUUCUCUCUCUGCCUGACUCUCUGCCUACUUGUGAUCUCUCUCUGUCAAAUAAAUAAACAAGAUCUUAAAAAAAAAAUGUAUCUUUAUAAAAAAAAAAAAGGAGGGCACUGAGUUGUUUGGGUGGAUGAUAGGUUUGAUUUUGUACAAGUUGGAGGUGCAUGGGUAGCAUCCAAAGGCAAGUGUGUAGUGGACAGUUGGAUAUGAGGGACUGGAGAGAAUUCUGGGCCAGUGAUACUAGGUUUGGAGUGGUUGAGGUAUGAGCAGUGGUUCAGUCUGUGGAUGUGGGUGAGAUUGGGUAGGAAGAGUGAGUAGAGGAGUAAUUUGUAACCUUUUUACAAACUUUAAAAGAUAAUGAAAGUUAUGACUCUUCUCACAAAAAUGUAUACGUGCCACAUACAUACAAGAUGUAUGUGCAUUUUUUGGGGGGAGGGGACGUUGUUUCAUGGGUCCUCGGGUCCAGGGUUAAGGACCUCGAGUGUAGAGUGAAAGGACCAAAUCUACAAAAUUGAGAGAUACCUAUGUUUAAGGCAGUCCUGAGUUCUGUUUCAGAAUUAUCUGGGCUGCUUAUUCAAAAAUAAAGGUUCCUGGGACUCACCUAAAGCUAAUAGAUGCAGAUCUUUUGAGUGUAGGACCUGGGAAUCUACAUUUUGAAUUACUGUCUCAAGUGAUUCUUCCUUAAGAUUUGGGACCCAUUGAUGUGAGGGGAAAGCAUAGGAAGAGGAGUCUCUGGAAGAAGCUGAGAAGGAAUUGCGGGAGUUAGGAGGAACCACGGAAGAGGCGUAUUGAGAAAUCACAUAGAUUGUCAAGGAGGUGGAGUAGCUGGCAGUGUUAGAACCCGUGAUUUAAGACAGUGGUCAGUAUAGGGAUUAAGUAAAAUAAUAUCCAAAAUCUGUCCAUUGGAUUUAGCAGGUGGAAGAUUAAUGGCAUCCUGUCAGGAUGAAAGGAGGGAAGAAAAGGAAGAUGGAGACUAGCUCCACUCUCAUGAGGAAAUUUUAUUUAUUUGUCAGAGAGAGAGCAAGCGAGAGCAAGCACAGGCAGACAGAGUGGCAGGCAGAGUCAGAGGGAGAAGCAGGCUCCCUGUGGAGCAAGGAGCCCGAUGUGGGACUCGAUCCAAUGAUGCUGGGAUGAUGACCUGAGCUGAAGGCAGCUGCUUAACCAACUGAGCCACCCAGGCGUCCCUAUCAUUUGAAUUUUCAAAUUUAUUGGCAUAAAAUUUGUAGUCUCAUUUUAUUGUUUAUUGGAUGUGUAGCAAUGAUCCUUUUUUCAUUCUUUAUAUUGAUUAUCUCUGCUUUAUCUAGUCCACCCAUCCCUCCCCCCCCAACCGUUUUCUUGGUCAGUCUCAUCAGUGGCUUAUCAAUUUUAAUAGUUUUAUCAAUAGCUUUGUUGUUUUCUUGUACACAUAUUUUCUAUUUUAUUAGUGUUUAUUCUCCACUGUUGUGUUUCUUUUACUUUUUUCUGAUUAAUUUCAUCCUCUCUUCACUUCUAAUAUAUGCGUGUUAAGUUGUAGUUUAUCUUAGUCAUGUGCAGGUAUAUAUAUAUAGUUUUGGUAUAUAUUUUUGGCUACCUUUCAGUUUAAAAUAUGUUCUAACUUCUUUUGUCAUGUUUUUUCUUGGACCGAGGGUUGAUUAGGAAUGUAUGUCUUAAUUUUAAUCUGUCUUUAAUUUUAAUGUAUGUGUGCGUUUUCAUAUUACCUAUUUGUCACUGAUUUCUGACACAAAAGAUACUGUGGUCAGGGAACAUAAACAAUAUGCUUUUAGUCAUUUGAAGUUUAUUGAGAUUUGCUUUGUGCUAUGUGUUCAGUUUUGCUAAAUAUUCUAUAUAUAUUUGAAGAGAAUAUGUAUUUUUCAGUUAUUAGUUUCUUAGUAACUAAAGUUAAUGCAAGUUAUUUCCUUA